UAAUUUGUUGCUUGCUAUGCUCUCUGUUGUACAUUGCAACUCGCAUAGGGUAUUGAUACUUCAUAUGCUCUUGCUUUGUCUGCAACCUGUACCUGGUGCACUCUAUUGGGCUCAUAUUUUAGAUCCACCUUUCUUUCACCCUGUCACCUGGGCAGACACCUCCUUCUCAGCCUUUAAUAACAUAACUGCUUGGCUAGGAGGGAUAGAUUUACCCCCAGUGGGGUCCCUCAUUAAUGGCACACAUUAAACUAAGGUGCCAGGUAACACUACAUAUCAUUCCACUAUCCUCCCACUGUGUGUAAGUUAUAAAGGUUCUAACCCUGUGUACCUGCCCAAACACAAUUAUGGCUACAUCAUGGCAAAGGAGAUGCCUUAACAUUCCUAGCUGCAGGUAGCCUCAAACCGGGCGAUGCAAUCAAUGCCACUUUCCCAAACAUUCCUUCCUGUGUUAAAGAACAAAGCCGGGAAAGUAAUGGAUUCCACUUUAGCUGGGAGGUCUGUCAUGGGGAAUAAGCCCAUAUGCUCCAGUUAGGCAAUUAUAACAUCUUAGACUGGAGCCCCCACAGCCACUUGCAGGGCAGCCUUACUAAUGUCCUCAUCCAUCAUGGCACCAAUCACAGUUUCAUAGCCACGUCCCAUUCCCCUAUGAUUUGGGCCUAUGGGGGGAUAGGAUAUUCCAGACCCCAAGUAAAGUCCAUGCCACCCCAAGACACUUUGUGGUGCCUGGGACAUCUUAGCACCUCCUUUGACACCUGGCAUUGGACAUAUCAUAAUUCCAGUCACAACUAUACUACAACCUUUAUUCAUAAUCACACUGAUCAGUGCCUGAUUUGCACUACCCAUCCAUAUGUUUUCCUUGUGGGAACUAAUAUUUCUGUUAUACCCCAAAACUCCAUGUUUGUGACCCAGGUGCAGGGACAGCCUUGGUUCACCUCAUGUAUUACUAAUUACAAUAUAUCUAAUUAUAAAUAUUACUAGAGUCGUGGUAUUAAGGAGACAAUCUGAGGCAUUCCCACCAGUCAAUUUGACAUGCGGUUGGCAAGGUUCCUCUUCCCUUCCCACUUUAGAUCGUGCCCUGUCCCAGGUCAGACCCGAAAGAUUCAUAGGCACACUUACAGCCUUCAUAGUCUCAGCCAUAGUCAUCCUAGCAACUGCUAGUGUGGCUGUAGCAUCUAUUACUGAAUCAGUACAAACAGCUGCUUUUGUAGAUAAUUUGGCCAGAAAUGUUUCUAAUGAACUUCUCUUACAGCAAGGUAUAGAUCAAAAGAUUCUUGCACAUCUGCAAGCCCUCGAGGCUGCCUUUGGAAUAUGUGGGGGAGCGACAAGAUGCACUGGCAUUCCAACAGCAAUUAAACUGUGACUGGGAGCAUAAACAUAUCUGUGUCACUUCUCUACCAUGGAAUCAGUCAAUGCAUAGUUGGGAUGAGGUGAAACAACACCUCUGGGGAACCUUUCAUGACAAUUUAACAGCAGACAUAAGGCAACUUAAAAAUACAAUUUUAGAAUCCCUUCAAACUGUAGAUCUACACACCCAACAAACAGCCAUAUGGAAGGGUGUGUGAGAUUAUCUCUCCUGGAUAGACCACCGCUCCUGGGGGCGGGGGGUGGUGGGUCACUCCUUGAUUAGAAAAGAAUGUUGCUAAUUAUACUCAUGUUUGUCUUAUGUUAUUUACUAAUUUUAGGAUGCAAAGCCGGAAUAAGAGCAAUGACCACCAUGCCUGACAGACCUGUUGCUGCGCACACCUGUACUCUCCAAUGAACAAGACUGAAUGCAAAAAAAACAGAAAAUGGGGAGAUUUAGGGGAUCAGUCAGUGUGGUUGGAAAAUUGUAAGAUGAAGUUACAGGAUAUAGACACAAACCUUCUUGGAAGGCCAGAAGGUUUGCAUAGCUUCAGUAAAGGAUUUGGCUGAAAUCCUUUUUACCUCUAAUCCCCUUUACCUUGAGUUGAUAGCAAUAGAGCAAAUAACAUGGGAAUGUGGGGGAGUUUAUCUGAAUAGCUUGUUUACUCAUGUGGUCCUAAGACCAACCUUUGAUUAUCCGCAGGUGCAUGAUUGCUCUCUACCUGGGGGCAGGGGGAGUUAAUUACCCACAGGUGUGUUGACUCAAAGCCUUUGUCAUUAAGUCUGUGCUGAAUAAAUGCCAUGAGGGCCAGCCAGUUAAGGCCUGUGGCCGCCACAACUCUUUCUGUGCAUGGCCCGGCCCCUUAGCUGCUCUGUCACUGAAUAUCGGUGUGAGUAUGUUAUUCAUCUGCUGUGCGGCUGGGGUCUGCAGGACAGACCCCUGCAGCUGGGGAAGGAGGCAUGGGACUCUGGGAAAGGGAGGCAGUCAUUUAGGCCUGGAGCCAAGGGGCCAGGGGCCUGGGUAGGCAACAGAGCCACACAGUGACCUUGCUACCCUAUUUAUGGGCCAGCCACCACCUGCCCUCAUGCCCAGGGUCUUUCUGCAGGUGGAGCUGAAGAGCCAGGAGGCUCAGAGUCUGCAGCAGCAGCAGGACCAGUACCUGGGUCAUCUGCAGCAGUAUGUGGCCACCUAUCAGCAGCAGGUGGUCACCUAUCAGCAGCUGACCUCUGAGGAGGAGGAGCUGCACAACCAGUUACUGCUGCAGACCCAGCUCGUGGACCGGCUGCAGCAGCAGAAAGCUCAAAGCAAAGCUGUGGCCAAGAUGGGCUGCCAAGAGUUGCGGGAGACCCAGGUGAGGGAGUUGCUCAGGGCAGGGCCCUGAGGGUAACGACCUGGCAACCUUUGUGCCUUCUCACUCCCUUUCUUGGCCCCUUAGGAGCACCUGGAAGCUAUCAGCCAGCAGAACCAGCAGCCUCAGGCCCAGUUGAGCCUCAUGGCUCUCCCUGGGGAAGGUACCGGAGACUGCUCACAGGAAGAGGAGAGAGCCCCAGGAGGAAACGGGAACUGUUAGCAGCAUAGGAUUGAGGAGCUGAAACAGACUUUUAGAACAGCUGGUCAUUAUGCCAACCAGGUGUCCACACUAAGUUUGGCACCAAUAUGGUGACCUUCUGGGAGCAGGGGACCACCAGGUUAGGUUGCCUAAGGGUGGGUGAACUGGCCCAGGUCAGAAAUGGAGCAGGUCGGAACUCCCAUGCCUAUUGGUAGUGGGACUGCACCUGGGCAACAUAGCAAGAUCUUGGCUCUUUAAAAAAUAAAGAGGCCGGGCACGGUGGCUCAUGCCUGUAAUCUCAGCACUUUGGGAGCCUGAGGUGGGUGGAUCACGAGGUCAGGAGUUCAAUCAAGACCGACCUGGCCAAGAUGGUGAAACCCCGUCUCUACUGAAAACACAAAAAUUAGCCGGGUGUGGUGGCGGGCGCCUAUAAUCCCAGCCACUCGGGAGGCUGAGGCAGAGAAUUGCUUGAACCCAGGAGGCAGAGGUUUCAGUGAGCUCAGAUCAUGCCACUGCACUCCAGCCUGGAUGAUAGAAUGAGACUGUUUCAAAAUAAAGAACAGCUGCUCAUUCCCCACUAGGGAGGGGCUGGCCUAGGGUUACACAGUGAGGGUGGGGGCAGAGGUGGGCCCACUCUGCCCUUGUUGGGUUGUCUGAGGACCUCUCUGGCCACCCCCAACAGGAGAUGGACAGUGAGGAGGAGGAGGAGGUGCCUCAGCCCAUGCCAAGCAUCCCGGAGGAUCUAGAGAGCCAGAAGGCCAUGGUGGCAUUUUUCAACUCAGCUGUAGCUAGUGCCGAGGAGGAGCAGGCACGGCUAUGUGGGCAGCUGAAGGAGUGCACUGCCAGCGCCUGGCUCAUCUGUUGGCCUCGGCCCAGAAGGAACCUGAGGCAGCAGCCCCAGCCCCAAGAACUGGGGGUGAUCCCAUGUGUGGGGAGACCCACCAGGCCCUGCAGGGGGCCAUGGAGAAGCUGUGGGUGAGUCUUUCCUGGCAUGGGCCAAGAAGGGUUGGGGCAGGAAGGUCGCUGCCUUAAUGUGACCCCAUUAUUUUGGCUCCAGAGCCGCUUUAUGGAGCUCAUGCAGGAGAGAAGGUGGACUUGAAGGAGAGGGUUGAGGAACUGGAACAUUGCUGCAUCUAGCUGUCUGGAGAGAGACAGACACCAUCGGGGAGUGGGAAGCCAGGGCACGGCAAAGAGAGCUGCACAUUGGUCAGAGGGGCCCCAGCGUCUGAGUCCUGUCCUCCUGCAGGAGAGUACAUCGCACUGUACCAGAGCCAGAGGGCAGUGCGGAAGGAGGAGGAGUGCAUCAGCAGGCUGGCCCAGGACAAGGGAGAGGUGAAGGUGAAGCUGCUGGAGCUGGCGUGGCUUGUGGACGACUGCAACAAGUGGCAUAGCAGAUUCCUGGCAGCUGCCCAGAACCCUGCUGAUGAGCCCACUCCAGGGGCCCCCGCCCCCCAGUAGCUUGGGGCUACUGACAAGCCAGGGUAGUGAGUAGAGUCCUCAGGCACAGUGGGCACGCAGGAGCAGGGGAGGGCUCCCACAGCACCCUGCCUCCCUCUCUCCAAAGAUCUUUGUGAGGUGAGCCUUGCCAGCAGUGGGGAGUCUGCACAAGGAGAGGCGGGGAAGCAUUCUCCCUGUGACAACCCCACUGAGCAGCAGAUCAUGCAACUGCUUCAUGAGAUGCAGAACCUCCAGGAGCACCCAGGCUUGGGCAGCAGCCCUUGCAUUCCUUUUUUGUACCAGACUGAUGAGAACAAUGAGGUGAAGAUCACCAUCAUCUAAAAGCCGGCCACUGUCAGCAAAACCUGGGGAAGUGGGGCUGGAGGCUCUGCCCCUACCAUGUCCCUACCACCCCUUCCCAGUCAACCCUUUACCCUCACAGUAGCAAGCAUAAGACCCCUGUCUAAUGUGGGGAGACAGGUGGAGAUGAGGUGAAGAUCACCAUAAUCUAAAAGGCCACUAAAUAAAAAAAUAAAAAAUUUU
rnacentral:lncRNA from 1 species